rnacentral:lncRNA from 1 species
UCUCUCAAACAACCCUGCAAUUAAUAAACAAGAAGUCUCUUGCAUCCCCGACACACCUAAUACAAUGGCUACAAAAGCACACCUCAGAGUUCGUAGUUCUCAUCUAUGGAUUUCUCAAUGUCACCGCGGCCAUCCAAAGAGAGUACCACAAUCACCACAACAUAUAUCAAGGAUAGUCAGAGACAAGCACCAAGAGACUCUCAAUUUUCAAUCAAUUCACAAAAGAGGAAAUCACUCAUGAAAAAAUUCUUCUAAUCCAUGUCCAAUAGACCGCUGACACCAUGGUCUCGGAGAUUAUACUAGAUAAGAUCAAGUGAGUACAUCAGUCCAAUACAUAGAAGAAGGGAAAACAUCAUGGGAUCACCCUAGAUUAACAUAGCCUAUGAUCACAAUCAAGAUCACAUCAUGGGAGAGAGAAUUAACCACAUAGCUGCUGUAGAAGACCUCAGCCCCGAGGAGGAACUACUCCGUUCAUGGAGGAAGGAAGCAACGUUGAUGGAGAUGAAUCCGGGGACACUUACCCGCCCCGGCAGGGUGCCGACACAGGAAUUAUGGUUCCCUGAAACUUGUUGGCGAUGGCGACGGAGAUCGGAAUUGCUUCUGGAGAAAAGGGUUCUGGAAUCAGGGUUUCCUCCACGGGGUAAAAAUAGGGCAAAGGGGGGCACCAGGGGAGGUCCCACUCGUCCAGGCGGCCUGGUAGCGCGACCUCCCCCCUAGGUCGUGCCAGGUGGCAGCCUGGGUGGGGGUGCCCCCCCUCUGGCUCUCCUUCGGGCGUUUGGAGUCUUCUGAAACGCUGAUUUUUUAUAUAUUUUCUGUGGAAUUUUUGGGCACUGUAAAUAUGGGUAUAAACCUGCAAUUCACAGACAUCAGCAGAUAGAAACUGGCAUUGGAUGCACUGAGUUAGUAGGUUAGUCCAAAUAUGUUGAAAAAGAUAUGAAAGUGUACAAAACACAUAGCAAUAUCACCCAAAACUUGCAUGGAGCAAGCAGAAAUUAUAGAUACGUUUGGGACGUAUCACCGUCGAGGGUUUGUGGCAGCUUGGUAUGAGGGUACUUAAUAUUAUGUAGUAUUUUUCCCUAUUCAUUUCUCUCUAUAUUGCCUACAAAAAAUAAUCUAUCGAAUUUUGUUAUAGAUGUUAAAGUAUUGCCUAAGAAGAUCCAUGGCAAAAAUUAUGCAGUAUUUUUCCUGCUUGAGUUGCCUAUUGAACACCGAAAAAAAUGCUGAAAAGUUUGGGGAUACAACUACGUGUUGCAUACUAAUGAACACAAAUAUUACAGUAUCACCUAAGAACACAUAAUCCAUGGCAAAAUUAUGUAGUAUUCUGGCUUCCUACCUCUGUCUCUAUUGCCUACAAAAACAACCUCUCUAAUUUGGUUGCCUUCUUUUGAAAAUCAGGGGUGUGUUUCGAAGCUGAUGUGGAAACAAGGAUGUCGCAACCCUCGUCAAACCCCAAGCUCAAAUCCCCCUUAACUGUUGCAUCUCUGGAAACCCCAUCUUGAAAGGACAAAAAGGAACUUCCCAUGGAUGUCAGUAGCUAGCCCUCCGCCCGCUCCCCCCACCUCCCCACCACCACCCCACGCGAUGACGAAAAAACUGUGCAAGAUAAGGCGUCGAAAAACUGACCUCGGGAGGUAGAUGCAGCAGAUAAUCUCCGUCUCUAGUCGUCCGCCGCCUCCUGCAACCAAUGACUCCACCACCUCCUUUUGCUUCCUCUCCCCCCUUCGCGUACGUGACCCCUCUCCCCGGUCAAAUUGUUGGAGCCUCACCUCCCGUAUGUGGUGCUCACUUCACUUGUCCAUCGUCUUCACCGCUUAUCCUAAAAUUGUUGCCUACAACAUCCGACAAACCUUAUGUUAAAUGAGUUGCCUAUGUAGUGUAUUUAAAUGUGAAAAAGGUUGCCUACAUCAUGAAUUACAGUAUUGCCUACUAAAAACACGCAGUAUUGUCUAUGAUGAUAAUUAAAUUGCCUACAAAAACAAAACGGACAACAAUUAUUUGCCUACAGAAAGAAAACAGAGAUGUUGCCUGCAAAAAAACCUCCUUUAAAAUGCCCAUCCCAUGUGUGGUUUUGCCUACAUAUAUGUCGGUUGCCUAAUUUAGUUGUCUACAAAACCAAAAUGGACAAACAAAAAAAAUGCAUACACAACAAUAGAGACGUUGCCUACAAAUACAAAAAAUGAGAGAUGAUCUUGCCUGUGGAUGCUAGUAUGCAGCCAGGCCCUAUCCCUACUCGCAUUACCCCAGCAAAAACCUCGAGUAAAAAAAUGCGCCGACGAGGACAGUGAGAAAGGGAUUAUCGCGCGCGACGCGAUUUGCUAAAACAAACUUGCAUAUAUCUCCUCCCCCACUACCCCACAACUUCGCUCUAAAAAAUCCUAGGGGAGAAAUAUGACAACGAUUCUCUGUAACCAUAGUAAAGAGUUUAAACAUAACAACAUCAUCACAACCUAGAAAAAAAUCAGAUCGUUUGAGCAGGGUUAUAAAAGGGUUGCUUUAUCCAUAGUGAUGUAUCUGACCACUCUACAAAAUGUGUUUGACAAAACACAGGGGGUAGCAUGUUGAUUCGUGUGUUUCAGCAACAAAAGAUUGUCCCCGCUGCAAGACAAAGCGUGUGAGCAAAGUUAUGAGCUUGUCAUUAUCCUAUAAAAUCACUUUAAGUUGCCUACUACUGAACGAGAACAUUGCUACAAACUACUCAAGGGGAAAAUGUACAUAAUGCUACAUCUAUAAACAAACUUUCCUACUCAAGUGCUUUGCCUGCAAAACAAAAAUUGCAUGUAAUCGCUACAGAUUUGCUCACAAAAACAGGCCUACUGCUGUGCGCAGUAACCUGCCUACUUCUGGAGGGGAAAAAUGCUACAAAAGUGCUCACUAUAAGUGAAAAAUUGCAUACUUAUUUGUGGAAAAAAUCCUACAACAUAGAGAAACCUGUCCUAGAUGCUAAAACAUGUUGUGAAAAAACAUUUUAAAAAGAUCCUGAUUGGAUAAUCGAUUGCUUUGUUUGUGAUGCACUACACAAAUCACGCGAGAAAUUCUCUGUGCUUGCUACUGUGUGCUAUCAAAUUCGAUUGGGGAAUUUUCCGCGCGGGCUUGUGCCGGACAUCGGUUCCCCCGGUGCACAAGCCCCUUACUCCUAUGCUCGCUUCCUUGCCAUCCCGUCCUUCCCCUCCCCCGCUCGUCGACGAGGAUGACGUCGCCGUGUCGCUGAAACACCCAUGACCCUAGGUCACAAAUCGUAAAAAUGGAAAGGGGGAGGGGCCCGUGACUUAGCUUCUCUUUCCAAGCGGAGAUAUAGCAGCCCGUCGCACCCUCCUCGUCUUCGCGUCGCCAUUCUGUACGCCUGUACCUUCUCCCUCCCCGUCCCUCUUCGCGCGACCCCAUCUCAAUUGAGCUGGCGCUUUGCUUCCGCGAGUGGAGCCGGUGUCAUCGAGCUCGUCGCUUGUACGCCCCACCCAAUUCCUCGCCGUCGCUGGGCUCUCGCCGGCCGCGGCCGCUGCCGACCUAGGGAUUUCUCUCCCCUGGCGCUAGGAGGUGUGUGUUUGGACUCUGGGAGAGAGGAGAAAAUGGACAAGGACAAAAGAAGACCGCCACCCUCUUCCUCCCGAGUCUACUCUAUCCACCACGUGGCUGGGAUUCACAUCGCGAUAUGGACGACUGGCGUUUGGCCGCUCGUGGUUUCUGAAUCGCGCGCGUGCGUCACGCAGCGUUUAG